UGGAAUGGCUUAUCAUCGAAAGGUGCUGGAAACAUGCUUCCAGCGUCGCCCGAGGAUGGGACUGCGUCCGAUCAGGUUGUUGGCGGGGUAACGGCCCACCAAGCCUAUAACCGGUACGGGCCCUGAGAGGGGGAGCCCGGAGAUGGAAACUGAGACAAGGUUCCAGGCCCUACGGGGUGCAGCAGGCGCGAAACCUCCACAAUGCGCGUAAGCGUGAUGGGGUUAUCCCGAGUGCCGUCCGAUGAGGAUGGCUUUUCAUCGGUGUAAGCACCCGAUGGAAUAAAGGGGGGGCAAGACUGGUGUCAGCCGCCGCGGUAAUACCAGCCCCCUGAGUGGUAAGGACGAUUAUUUGGCCUAAAGCGUCCGUAGCCGGCUUAUCAAGUCUUUUGUUAAAUCCAACGAUUCAAUCGUUGGGCCGCCAAAGAUACUGAUAUGCUAGAGGACGGGAGAGGUCGACGGUAGUCCAGGGGUAGGGGUGAAAUCCUAUAAUCCCUGGAGGACCACCAGUGGCGAAGGCGGUCGACUAGAACGUGCCUGACGGUGAGGGACGAAAGCUGGGGGAGCGAACCGGAUUAGAUACCCGGGUAGUCCCAGCUGUAAACGAUGCGGGCUAGGUGUUGGGGUAGCCACGAGCUGCCCCAGUGCCGCAGAGAAGUUGUU
rnacentral:rRNA from 1 species